AAUGAACGCUGGCGGCGUGCCUAAUACAUGCAAGUCGAGCGGGCCUCCGGAGGUGCUUGCACCUCCGGAAGGCCAGCGGCGGACGGGUGAGUAACACGUGGGCAACCUGCCUUUGAGGCCGGGAUAACACCGGGAAACCGGUGCUAAUACCGGAUACGUCCUCUUUCGCGCCUGCGAGAGGGGAGAAAGACGGUCUUUAAGGCCGUCGCUCAAAGAGGGGCCCGCGGCGCAUUAGCUGGUUGGUGGGGUAAGGGCCUACCAAGGCGACGAUGCGUUGCCGAACGGAGAGGGUGAUCGGCCACACUGGGACUGAGACACGGCCCAGACUCCUGCGGGAGGCAGCAGUAGGGAAUCAUCCGCAAUGGGCGAAAGCCUGACGGUGCAACGCCGCGUGAGUGAGGAAGGUUUUCGGAUCGUAAAGCUCUGUUGUGAGGGAAGAACAGCUUCCGGAGGAAAUGCCGGAGGUUUGCCGGUACCUCACCAGAAAGCCCCGGCUAACUACGUGCCAGCCGCCGCGGUAAUAC
rnacentral:rRNA from 1 species